GUCCGUUGUAUGUCAAUCGGACGCGACGGUAUGGAGAACAGGGCGAUUUUUCCGAUUUCUCGCUCUGGCCAACGAAACGGCAGACGAGCUUCUGUCCCGUCUGCAAC
rnacentral:sRNA from 1 species